ACGUCCAAAUCACUUGGAAAUACCGGAUCUCAUACAAUUACCGAAGUUAAGCAACGUCAAGCCUGAUCUGUACCUAGAUGGGUGACUGCUUGUGAAUGCCAGCUACUGUAA